GCUUGUAGGUGGGGUAACGGCUCACCUAGGCGACGCUCCCUAGCUGGUCUGAGAGGAUGACCAGCCACACUGGAACUGAGACACGGUCCAGACUCCUACGGGAGGCAGCAGUGGGGAAUAUUGCACAAUGGGCGCAAGCCUGAUGCAGCCAUGCCGCGUGUGUGAAGAAGGCCUUCGGGUUGUAAAGCACUUUCAGCGGGGAGGAAGGCGGUGAGGUUAAUAACCUCAUCGAUUGACGUUACCCGCAGAUGAAGCACCGGCUAACUCCGUGCCAGCAGCCGCGGUAAUACGGAGGGUGCAAGCG
rnacentral:rRNA from 1 species